UGGACUUUGUUUUUUUCUUGCAUAAAGUAGAUGGUUAGUAAAUAUCUAUUGUUCUGCUUUGAUUUAUUACGUUAGUCUACUGCACUAAUAGUUGAAUUCUAUGUAAGGAGGCUCCCAAUAGGCAUAUGUUUGUUGACUGGCUGAAUACCUCUGCCAAUACAUCUGCCAGAAACCGUUUCCUGGUUUCCUUAACUGUACAACAAGUAGCUGAAUGAAACCAGAGAUUUCACAUCUUUUAGCAGCAGAUUCUCUUUCACAACAGAUGAAUGUGAGUGAUCUCAAGGGAAUAGAGCAAGACUGUGUAGCUAUUUUAACUGAAGCCACCAGAGCAGAUAACCUACCAACAGAAAUUCAGAAUGUUGCCUAAGGGCAGUGACUUUAAAGAGAAGAGAGAUCACAGAAAUGAACAACUGGCUACAAAAACAUGGUUAAAAUGCAAAAAUUUCAUUUUUGACCAAGAUUUAAGAUAUCAUAAUUGUGGACUCUUGACAAGAGACAGAAUGCAUCUCACUGUAAGAACUACUUUUUUGGAAGAAUAUGUGCUGAUCUGAGAAAACAGGUUUAAACUGAAAUAAACAGAAUAAAAAAUAAAGGCAUUAAAACAAAAAAACUACGAACCAAAUGCUAUAGCAUUUAACAGCUCUGUGAAGAAGAACAAUGGUGGAGAAAGCACCCAGAAGCUCACAAGGAAAAGGUCAGAAACAAAACUGGUGGCCUGAAACAGCCAAAUAUUAAUGCACAGAUUAUAAGUAAGAAACUGAGUUUAAAACUUUAACACGAGAGUAAAUAGGACUUCAUAGGAAUCACCAAAGUUUGGCUCGAUAGGGUUUAAAGAGGAGUAAAGAUAAAGAUAUCUCUGCCUCAAUCUGAAGGAACUGAUCUGAUUAAGGGAAAGAAGCUGCUCUUGCAUGUUAAGAGUUCAACUUGAUGGAAAUAUACGAACCUGAAGGUAGAAUCAUGGUAAAGAAUUGAGAGAGGUUAGCGGAAAGUAGAAGCAGAAAUUAGAGACAUCAAAACUGCUCAACUAUAUCGAAGGUAUGAAUGAUGCUUUCCUGAUACACAAUACAAAACUGGCAGAGAUGAUAACAGAGUGAUUGGAAAGUCUGAUUAUUCAGAGAGCUCCUGGAAGUCUAAUUCUGCUAAAAGAUAAUUUCGACUCCUAGAAGUCAGAGAAACAAUGAGGGAAAGGUUAACUCAAUUCUACCAACCGGAUGAACUGGCUGGUGAAGUGGAACCUCAAACUAGGAACUUCAGAGAACUGGGGAAGAAAAUCAUCCUGUUAUCUGGGAUUCAUAAUCGCCAAAUUAGGGACCACCAGGAAUACCACAAAGGAAAACUGGUAAAUGUAGGUUUAAUCUUACCAAAUAGAAAAGUCUUCAGUAACAAAGAGUAAAAUUCAAAAAGUGUUGGUAUCUUAGACUUUCAUAAUUUAAGGGA